rnacentral:misc_RNA from 1 species
CUGGAACGCGCCCCAGGCGCACCCAGAAACCCUUUGUGAACUUAUACCUUACUGUUGCCUCGGCGCAUGCUGGCCUCUUAGUAGGCCCCUCACCCCGGUGAGGAGAAGGCACGCCGGCGGCCAAGUUAGCUCUUGUUUUUACACUGAAACUCUGAGAAAAAACACAAAUGAAUCA